rnacentral:rRNA from 1 species
UCCGUAGGUGGCAAGCGUUGUCCGGAAUUAUUGGGCGUAAAGCGCGCGCAGGCGGUCCUUUAAGUCUGAUGUGAAAGCCCACGGCUCAACCGUGGAGGGUCAUUGGAAACUGGGGGACUUGAGUACAGAAGAGAAGAGUGGAAUUCCACGUGUAGCGGUGAAAUGCGUAGAGAUGUGGAGGAACACCAGUGGCGAAGGCGACUCUUUGGUCUGUAACUGACGCUGAGGCGCGAAAGCGUGGGGAGCAAACAGG